UGACCUGAUGAUACCAGUAAUAGGAAGUGCCGUCAGAGGCGAUAACUGACGAUGCCCGUAGCCGUCUGAGC
rnacentral:snoRNA from 14 species